UACGUAGGGUGCAAGCGUUGUCCGGAAUCAUUGGGCGUAAAGAGCGCGUAGGCGGCCCGGUAAGUCUGCUGUAAAAGUCAAAGGCUUAACCUUUGAAAGUCAGUGGAUACUGCCGGGCUAGAGUCCGGGAAGAGGCGAGUGGAACUCCUGGUGUAGCGGUGGAAUGCGCAGAUAUCAGGAAGAACACCAACGGCGAAGGCAGCUCGCUAGGACGGAACUGACGCUGAGGCGCGAAAGCGUGGGGAGCAAACAGG
rnacentral:rRNA from 1 species